rnacentral:rRNA from 1 species
UACAGAGGUCUCAAGCGUUGUUCGGAUUCAUUGGGCGUAAAGGGUGCGUAGGCGGCGCGGUAAGUCGGGUGUGAAAUCUCGGAGCUUAACUCCGAAACUGCAUUCGAUACUGCCGUGCUUGAGGACUGGAGAGGAGACUGGAAUUUACGGUGUAGCGGUGAAAUGCGUAGAUAUCGGGAGGAACACCAGCGGCGAAGGCGACUUUCUGGCUGCUAACUGACGCUGAGGAGCGAAAGCGUGGGGAGCGAACAGG